rnacentral:misc_RNA from 1 species
AAAAGACGCGGUACGUUUAAAUAGUUAGAGGAUCUCGAAGACCUUGGUGUGAUCACUGAUGAGCAACUCGCUUCGUCUCUUAUAUAGCGGUAGCGUACGUGUACUAUGUAAGUUUUGUCUUUGCAAAUCACCACGUGCACCAGCGCGUACGAGUACAACAAAUUUGUAGACGGACAUUGCCGCUGGUUCGAAUAAAAGAAAAGAAUCGAAGGACGUGGAUGUUGAUCAGCUGCAGUUCUUCCUCAUCUCCAGGUGGUUGCAUGUUGUUCGAAAUUUCUAAAUCCGUACGUGUGUAUCACGAUGGAAUAAAAA